GAGUUUGAUCAUGGCUCAGGAUGAACGCUAGCGGCAGGCUUAACACAUGCAAGUCGAGGGGUAACAGGGAGUGCUUGCACUCUGCUGACGACCGGCGCACGGGUGCGUAACGCGUAUGCAACCUACCUUUUACAGGGGGAUAGUCAAGAGAAAUUUUGAAUAAUACCCCAUACGAUCCUGAUAUCACCUGAUAUUUGGAAGAAAACUUCGGUGGUAAAAGAUGGGCAUGCGUCCUAUUAGUUAGUUGGUGAGGUAACGGCUCACCAAGACAGCGAUAGGUAGGGGUCCUGAGAGGGAGAUCCCCCACACUGGUACUGAGACACGGACCAGACUCCUACGGGAGGCAGCAGUGAGGAAUAUUGGACAAUGGAGGCAACUCUGAUCCAGCCAUGCCGCGUGCAGGAAGACUGCCCUAUGGGUUGUAAACUGCUUUUAUACAGGAAGAAACCUACUUACGUGUAAGUAGCUGACGGUACUGUACGAAUAAGGAUCGGCUAACUCCGUGCCAGCAGCCGCGGUAAUACGGAGGAUCCAAGCGUUAUCCGGAAUCAUUGGGUUUAAAGGGUCCGCAGGCGGUCUAUUAAGUCAGAGGUGAAAUCCUAUCGCUCAACGAUAGAACUGCCUUUGAUACUGGUAGACUUGAGUUAUUGUGAAGUAGUUAGAAUGUGUAGUGUAGCGGUGAAAUGCAUAGAUAUUACACAGAAUACCGAUUGCGAAGGCAGAUUACUAACAAUAUACUGACGCUCAGGGACGAAAGCGUGGGUAGCGAACAGGAUUAGAUACCCUGGUAGUCCACGCCGUAAACGAUGGUCACUAGCUGUUUGACUAACAUUGGUUAGUUGAGUGGCUAAGCGAAAGUGAUAA
rnacentral:rRNA from 1 species